AUGUCCCCGGUGGCUCCGGUGUGGCUUCUUUGGAGUGUGGCUUUCUGGAGAGCAGCUGUGAAUGCAGACAUCAUCCUGACCCAGACCCCAGCCUCCUUGUCUGCAUCUCCAGGGGAGACCAUCUCCAUCUCCUGUCAAGCCAGCGCUGAUGUACACAGCGAGAUGUCUUGGAUCCGAAUUAAACUUGGCCAAAGACUUGAACCCCUUAUAUCUCAUGUCACCACUUUGGCUCCCGGUGUCCGAGCCAGGUUCAGUAGCAAAGGAAGUGGAACCAGCUAUGUCUUGCGCAUCAGCCCUGUGGAGCCAGGGCACUCUGGGGAAUAUUACUGCAUGCAUGACUGCGGGUGGCCACCCACAGUGGUGCCGGCUAUGCACGAAUCUCCUGCUGUGCGUCCCAGAGACUAA